rnacentral:rRNA from 1 species
UUUCCUACGGGAGGCAGCAGUGGGGAAUAUUGCACAAUGGGCGAAAGCCUGAUGCAGCGACGCCGCGUGAGUGAAGAAGUAUUUCGGUAUGUAAAGCUCUAUCAGCAGGGAAGAAAAUGACGGUACCUGACUAAGAAGCCCCGGCUAACUACGUGCCAGCAGCCGCGGUAAUACGUAGGGGGCAAGCGUUAUCCGGAUUUACUGGGUGUAAAGGGCGUGUAGCCGGGUUGACAAGUCAGAUGUGAAAUCCUGCGGCUUAACCGCAGAACUGCAUUUGAAACUGUUGAUCUUGAGUACUGGAGAGG